UAGGGAAUCUUCCGCAAUGGGCGAAAGCCUGACGGAGCAACGCCGCGUGAGUGAAGAAGGAUUUCGGUUCGUAAAGCUCUGUUGUUAGGGAAGAAUGAUUGUGUAGUAACUAUACACAGUAGAGACGGUACCUAACCAGAAAGCCACGGCUAACUACGUGCCAGCAGCCGCGGUAAUACGUAGGUGGCAAGCGUUGUCCGGAAUUAUUGGGCGUAAAGCGCGCGCAGGUGGUUUAAUAAGUCUGAUGUGAAAGCCCACGGCUCAACCGUGGAGGGUCAUUGGAAACUGUUAAACUUGAGUGCAGGAGAGAAAAGUGGAAUUCCUAGUGUAGCGGUGAAAUGCGUAGAGAUUAGGAGGAACACCAGUGGCGAAGGCGGCUUUUCGGCCUGUAACUGACACUGAGGCGCGAAAGCGUGGGGAGCAAACAGGAUUAGAUACCCUGGUAGUCCACGCCGUAAACGAUGAGUGCUAAGUGUUGGUCUCAUAAGAGAUCAGUGCUGCAGCUAACGCAUUAAGCACUCCGCCUGGGGAGUACGACCGCAAGGUUG
rnacentral:rRNA from 1 species